rnacentral:rRNA from 1 species
UACGUAGGGUGCAAGCGUUGUCCGGAAUUAUUGGGCGUAAAGAGCUCGUAGGCGGUUUGUCGCGUCGAAUGUGAAAACCCGGGGCUCAACUCCGGGCCUGCAUUCGAUACGGGCAGGCUAGAGUUCGGUAGGGGAGUCUGGAAUUCCUGGUGUAGCGGUGAAAUGCGCAGAUAUCAGGAGGAACACCGGUGGCGAAGGCGGGACUCUGGGCCGAUACUGACGCUGAGGAGCGAAAGCGUGGGGAGCAAACAGG